GGGGUUACCAUGUGUGAUGAAGGGACAAGGAAGGGAGGCUUCUCAGAGGAGGUGGGCCUGGAAGAGAAUGGAGGAUCUGGAUAAGAGAAGCCUGGUCCAAGCCGCCAUCAUCUCUCACUGGACGCCCGCCACAGCUUCCUGAUGGUUCCCUCUCCAGAGUUCCAACUCAGCUUCAUGAAGCAGCCAUGGAGACCAUCCGUUCGCAAUCAAGAAUCCUUUGUGCAGCCCUUUGGAAGCCAUCUCCCCUCUGCUUCAGCCUUCAAGUUCCCAGCAUCCCCCAGGGUCAUCGGGCUUUACCUGGCUUGCUUCAUCUCUUCCCACUAUUGCUCACAGGGCAGACUUCACUCAGCUUUGAAGGACAUGACCGGACCCAGCAAGGAACCCUCAGCUACUUAAAUCAUAAACAAGUUCUUACAGGGGGACACCCAUCCACAAUGGUCUGGCACUGGGCGUGGAGGUGGGAGUGAGGAGCAGAAGAGACUGCCAUGCCUGGCUCCUGGAGAAACACCUGAGUAUGAGAGAUGGCCUUUGGAUGUACUCAACAGCAGAAAAG